rnacentral:rRNA from 1 species
AGAGUUUGAUCCUGGCUCAGGAUGAACGCUGGCGGCGUGCUUAACACAUGCAAGUCGAACGGGAAACCUUUUAUUGAAGCUUCGGCAGAUUUAGAUUGUUUCUAGUGGCGGACGGGUGAGUAACGCGUGGGUAACCUGCCUUAUACAGGGGGAUAACAGUCAGAAAUGACUGCUAAUACCGCAUAAGCGCACAGAGCUGCAUGGCUCAGUGUGAAAAACUCCGGUGGUAUAAGAUGGACCCGCGUUGGAUUAGCUAGUUGGUGAGGUAACGGCCCACCAAGGCGACGAUCCAUAGCCGGCCUGAGAGGGUGAACGGCCACAUUGGGACUGAGACACGGCCCAGACUCCUACGGGAGGCAGCAGUGGGGAAUAUUGCACAAUGGGGGAAACCCUGAUGCAGCAACGCCGCGUGAAGGAUGACGGUUUUCGGAUUGUAAACUUCUUUUCUUAGUGACGAAGACAGUGACGGUAGCUAAGGAAUAAGCAUCGGCUAACUACGUGCCAGCAGCCGCGGUAAUACGUAGGAUGCAAGCGUUAUCCGGAUUUACUGGGUGUAAAGGGAGCGCAGGCGGGACUGCAAGUUGGAUGUGAAAUACCGUGGCUUAACCACGGAGCUGCAUCCAAAACUGUAGUUCUUGAGUGAAGUAGAGGCAAGCGGAAUUCCGAGUGUAGCGGUGAAAUGCGUAGAUAUUCGGAGGAACACCAGUGGCGAAGGCGGCUUGCUGGGCUUUAACUGACGCUGAGGCUCGAAAGUGUGGGGAGCAAACAGGAUUAGAUACCCUGGUAGUCCACACUGUAAACGAUGAUAGCUAGGUGUGGGGGGUCUGACCCCUUCCGUGCCGGAGUUAACGCAAUAAGCUAUCCACCUGGGGAGUACGACCGCAAGGUUGAAACUCAAAGGAAUUGACGGGGGCC